AUGGGCUUGCAGCGCGAAAGGCAGAACCUCUGCAGGCCCCGCGCCCGCGCCAGCUCCGCGGCCGCCGCGUCCCCGAGGUCGACCCCAUUGGAGAGGUCGAGGUCCGCGAGGCCGGGGCAGGCGGCGAGGAGCGCGGCGAGGCCGGGCGCCCCGAAGCCGCGGGAGCGGGAGAGGUCGACGGCGCGGAGGGAAGGCACGGGCGCGGAGGAGAGGGCGGCGAGGGCCGCGGCGGGCACGCGCGGGCAGAGGGUGAGGUCGAGGCGGGCGGCGGUGGGGUAGCGGGCGAGCGCGGCGCUGAGGAGGUCGGCGCGGUACGGGCGGAGCACGCGGCGGUGGCGCGACUCGGCGGCGUGGCAGGCGCGGGAGGCGAGCGCGAAGGACUUGAGCGCGCGCGGAUCGGCGGCCGCCACCCGGUCCAGGACCAAGAAGAGGAGCUCGUCGGCCAGCGAGUCGAUCGGCGCGGCCGGGACCGCAACCGCGGCAGGGCAGACGCGUCGGCGCUUGGCAAGGUGGCCGUGGGUCGCCAUGGCCAUGGCGGGCAAGGCGGGCUGGCAGUUGGUUGUUCGCCGGGACACCGAGAACGGAGGGAGGAGUAGCAAUGGCUGGCCACGGCCUACUCGCACGCAACAAUCAAGAAGGAGGAGGGAGAGGGAAAAAGCAAGGAAUGUUGGAAAUGUCGAGACUGCCCCUGCGUCGCCUUAUCACGGCUCCCUUGAGACGCCGCACCGCGUUUCCCAUUUUGCCCCGCGUGCUGGAAGGGGAGCGGAGUACUGCGCGGGCGACGACCGGGGGCGGCAUGGUCAUUGCGCGGCGGGGAAAGGACGGUACGGAGGAGGUACAGGCGGGGGCAGGGGUGGAAUAACGGAAAAGAUGGCGGGGAAAGCGAGGUGA
rnacentral:rRNA from 1 species